CCAUUAAGUACUUAAUGCUGUUCCUAUUCUUUCUCAUGGCCAUUUGAAAUGACUGCCUGGUACCAAACACUGAAUAAAACAGCCUGAAAUACAUAAGGUAGAACAACACUCAGGAAUUAUGCUCAAAGAGUCUUAUGCACCUUUUGGGCUGUCGCUGAAACAGGGUCUCCAAGGAAAAUCUCUUUGCAUCACAAAAGCAUCUUGUGGUUUAACUUCCUUCUACUUGACUUACAGUUUCAACCUCAUAAACUCAGCAGGAGCUGUAUUAUUGGUAAGGCAGAGGUGCUGUAGGAGAGCUGUGUACUUAAAAGCUUGCACAGACCUACCCACAACUACUCCUUGGUUCCUGUUAGCAGUCUUAACUUCUUCCUUUCUAAAGCAACAAGAUAAGAGAAGUUCGAAGCAUUUAUGAUGCAUGAAGAACCUUGCUGAAGUCCCUUUCCUUCACCAUCACCUGCAGCAUGAAUUGAUAUGUGACUUUCAGUAUUUUCAUCGUUCUGCCUUUUGAAGUAGAGGAAGAAAUCCAUAGCAGCCUUUAUUAAACAAAGGGGGGAAGAAAUGGACAAAUGUAUCCAAAAGCAGCAGGAAGCAGGCUGUACUGAGAGAAGACUGGCACCCCUGAAGCAUGACAUUAUUGUGUCACCAGGCUCCCUUGCUCUGCACUCUCACUGAAGUCAAGGAGAUCUGAAUCCAAGAGCAGAAGUUGGCCUUUAAGAUUCACUUCCAUGUAGCAUAUGUUGCAACACUGUACACCAAGAAAUGUAACCAAGAAGAACAGUGGUAUUUACAGUAUGCUAAAAUUUAACUAUUGCUGUGGCCUUCAGAAGCCUGUGGGACACAUCCAAAAGACUGCCCAUGUUUUACUUCAUCUGACACAAGAAGGCUGACACUCCCAGAACGGUGAGGUAAUCCUCAUCAAAGAGAGGAAGUGUGAGAGUCUGCUCAAAUCUGGUUGUGUGUCAGUCUGCAUUUCCAGGUGAGUGAUACUACCCACAUGCCUGUGUCUAUACAUUCCCCUGCCUGUAAUGCAAUUUUGCAGUAGCAGGAUUAGAACAGAUUGCUGGCAUUAUGGCAGCAAGGAUAUUGUUGGGAGUAGCUUGGCAACACUUGUAGGUGUUGUGACGCUGACUCUUUGCUCAAGGGCAAGGACAGAGAGGUGGUGCUGGAUACAGAACGGUAAGAAAAAUGAUGUCAGGAAAGUUCAGAAGAUGAAAGUAGUGACAGUAAAUAAGUCUGAAAUAAUUUUAGGUUUACAUACUUUAAGUCCUCUGUGACUGAAAACACAGCCAAGAAUUGCUUCAGCAAUAUUCCUUCAUAAAUCUGCAUAAUAAUCUCUCAGAGGGGCUUUGGUGAAAUUACAAGUAUUCAUUUACUAAAUUGGGUUCAGUGUCUGUAUCAUACGCUGUAUGAAUAUUCAGUGCCAUGAAUUCACUCAAACUACACUGAAGUUAGCAUGGUCCACAAACUAUCUCAGAUGAUAACUCAGGUAGAAAAGUCUUUCUUUAAAAAAAAAAAAUAUAUAUAUAUAUAUAUCUAUCCAUAAAGAAACUUUUCGCAACUAAGAAUAAUGGUAAUAAAAUCACAGGUUUUUUUUUUUUUUUUUUUUUUUUUGGUGGAGUUUCUGAUCUUAUAUCACUGAAUUCAACAACAACAUGCUAUUGCUAGAAAGGAACCAAAUAUGGUAACUGCCAUUCAGAUACAAGAAAACUCUGUUAUUGGGAGACUGAUAAUAGAAGCACUGGAUAUACAAUACUGUGACCUUCAUACAAAACUGUGUCUAUUCUUACACUCCUGAUAAAACUUUACAGAGAGUCAAAUUUUGUGCUGCGAGCUGAGAUAAACUAUAAUCUUGUGUAACUCUCCUGUGCUUCAUAUGCUCAAAUACAUGGAAAAAAAAAUGCAUAAAGUAAAUCCAGGAUAGCAAACAUCUGCAGGGUAAAAAUUCUCACCAUGGUGUGAAGCAGAUUGAACAUAGAUUACCUAUGCUCUCGCUGAGCCUUCUCAGCCUAUUCUAUUUACUCUUGGUCUGGUCUUGCCUGGGUAACCCAAGCUGUCCAUCCCUUCCCACCAAGGCAGUUGCUUUGAACAUAAGAUGCUGUAGCAAUUCUACCAAAAAAAUAAAAGGUAAAUCACAUCUUGGAUAUUUCUGAAGCUGUCUGUAGCAAACUGAGACAGAACCAAGAAGUCACUCAAGCCACAUAGAAGGUGGAGCACUUCAAAGGCAAGUUUUCAGUGGGUGGUGUCUGUGGGCCAAAAGGCACAAAAGUGAAAUGCGCUGCAGAAUGGUAAUUAUGACAAACUGCUCCAGUUCAUA
ensembl:lncRNA